rnacentral:lncRNA from 1 species
UUGAAGUUUUUACGUCGGAAUUCAAGCUCGCCGGAUUCUGGAAAUUUUCCGGCCACCGAAGCUUUCGAUCAAGAUAUCUCAAGCUGUAGAGCUUCGUUUUGAGUGAUUCUUGAACCUGUGAGUUCGCCUUGAUAUUCUUAACAACUCUCCAGAAGGAAUAGAGGCCUGAAAUUGAAGUUUUUAAGUCGAAAUCAAGCUCGCCGUUUUCUGCAAUUCUCGUCGGUUUCUGGAAAAAUUCCGGCCACCUCGACUGUUUUAGGUGUUUGACGGUUUGAUUUGGCGGACGAUUCGUAUAAUCGUGGUUGUGCUGUUAAGAAGACGCAGCGGGAUUAGAGUAUGGAUUGUACACUAUUCAAACGGUGUAGCGGGUAAUCCUACAGGACAGAAGAAACAGGAAGGCGAUCGAGCUGUGUAGAGUAGCUGCAUGUGAUACUCUGAAUUUCUAUUGAGAGGUUU